UUCGGCCAUAGUGGCGCACGGGUGAGUAACGCGUGGGAACCUGCCCAGCAGUGGGGAAUAACUUCGGGAAACCGGGGCUAAUACCGCAUACGCCCUUAGGGGGAAAGAUUUAUCGCUGUUGGAGGGGCCCGCGUCCGAUUAGUUUGUUGGUGGGGUAAUGGCCUACCAAGACUACGAUCGGUAGCUGGUCUGGGAGGAUGAUCAGCCACACUGGGACUGAGACACGGCCCAGACUCCUACGGGAGGCAGCAGUGGGGAAUAUUGGACAAUGGGCGCAAGCCUGAUCCAGCAAUGCCGCGUGAGUGAUGAAGGCCUUAGGGUUGUAAAGCUCUUUCGGCGGGGACGAUGAUGACGGUACCCGCAGAAGAAGCCCCGGCUAACUUCGUGCCAGCAGCCGCGGUAAUACGAAGGGGGCUAGCGUUGUUCGGAAUUACUGGGCGUAAAGAGCACGUAGGCGGUUCGUUAAA
rnacentral:rRNA from 1 species